rnacentral:lncRNA from 1 species
CUCAUUCACUAGUUCGAGUUCUGCUUAUUCAUAAGAUGAAAACCUAAAUUGAAAUCUCAACGUUACAUGAUUGAUCAACCAAGCAUACUAUGUAGAAGAGUUCAUUUGACAAGUUCAUGCAACUAGUAUUCAAAAAUAUGUUAUCUCAUUCUGCCAUCCACGAGCUCCUCAAUCUCUUCUGUUUGUAAUCCAUAAAUAUUACUCCGUAUAAUCUGGUGGAGGCCAUUGGCCAAGAAGCACUUUGAUAAGUUGAUAAAAUACAGUUUUAAGUUCCAAAUAAUCCAGCUAACCCCCUCCUGCACGGCCAAAAUAAAGAAACCGGAGCAGACAGGGGAAAAGAAAUCUAUCGACUAUAGCAUUUGGAUAUCAAGACAAACUUUUAUUUUGGUAAAAGGGGAAAAUUUUACUUGUAUAUCACAAGAUAACAUGAAGAGAGUAUGAUACAUCUAGAAGGACUAGAUGAAGCUCAAACCAGUGCAUAUUAAUCAGUCUAGUAUUAUCGCUUUAUCAAACUAGUCUAUAUUAACUCGGAGUUCUUGUUUCUUUGGAUUAGACGAAGACCACAGAUUCAUUUUCUUAGUGGCUGCCAAUACUAAUUUUCUACAACCAAAGACGAAACAAGAUCAUUAAAGAAGAUUAUGUUCUCUAAAUUUAACAAUUGUCUAGCAAAAUUUCGGAUUCUUGAAAAUAUUAAUUCUUCAUGAUAACACUAAGAUGAUUCUUUGACUACAAAAGUAGUGAAUUAAUGCCCAUCCCACGAAAAAUUAGCCUAUAUUCCAUCUUCUAUAAGCAACCAGCAAGUUGGCAUUUAUCUUCUCAAAGACUUGGAAAAACUCUCUUCCUAUACUGUUCCAAUAUCCUAAAACAAAUGAUAUGACACAGUUGCGGUAUAUAAAUUCUGAAAACGUAGACUUCCGGGAAGGGUAUGGUACACGUGAACUCAUGGUCUUCUUGUCAAACUAGGCAUUUUAUGUAUAUAUUUCCUAGAGUUGAUAUAAUAUUAUCUGCUGGCUUCCAUGCUCCAAAAAGGCUGAAUGAUACACUUGGUCGAAUAUUGAGUUAUUUACCUAGAGGAAUAAGGAUUGAUUCCUGCUUAAUACUUUUUUUUCCUCUCUUUUUAGUGGUGCACUCAUUCUAGAAAUCCUAGAUCUGCCAGAAAGGGCAUACAAUGCAUUCAGAAGGGCAAAGUACACCGGGAAAAAGCAAAUCUCAAGGUUCUGAAAGAAUAUAAAACUCAAUCGUGAUAACGGAUCAUACCUUUCAUAAGAUAAAAGAUGAUUCUAUCAUGCCGAAAGAUGCAAAAUAGAUUGAUUCUUGUCUCUUCAUCACCACAUCUGGAAGAGAAUAAAAAGCUUUUUGAUGAUUUGAUAUACAAAGAAUAGUAAGUAGAUAAACUAAGCUAGAUACGCGUAUUACUUCUCUUAGAUUUCCCACUUCGAUAGAUACUUGUAUGGGUUAAAUUUCAUGAUAGUCAUCCAACUUUCAUUUUAUUGCACUAAAGUUAUAGACUCAUUUUUCAAAUGAAAAAGUAACUCGAUUGUGUCUAUAUAUAUCACAAAAGAAAUUAUAAAACAAAAGCCGAAAAUGCUAAAUUCGAUCUAGGAAACACAAGUAGGUUGGCCACUUUAGCAGCUCACCUUACAUAAUAUCCAUGUGACACCAAUUACAAAAAUAAAAAGAAUUGAGUAUUAGGUUGCGUUAGAAAAUGAGUUCAUGUGAAUAUUAUGUACGGUGAGUUGCUGAAAUAGCUAUACUUACAUGGCUAUUUUGUAAAUACAGCAGCCUACAUGUGUUUUCCGGGGCUAAAUUUUGCAUUUCCCGAUAUUAUAUUUUAUAAUAUAUAAGCACAAUUGAGUUACUUUUUCGUUACAAAAAAUCAGUUUAAUAACUUUAAUGGAAUAAGCUGAAAGUUGGAUGCCGUGAAACUACCCCAUAUUUAUAUGCCUCCUACAUAUAUAUCUUGAUCAAUCCACUCAGUAGUAUUAAAAAACAAGGAACAAACCACUUUCAUAUCUCUUGACAGCCUGCUCUUUCAUAAUGGACAGCAGGAGAUGUAAAUGCAAGUGGUGCGGCACGAAAAUGUCAGCUCCCAUUGGAGCACAAACCAUUUCCUGCCCAAGGUGCCAAUCUGUUACACAACUCCAACCUCCAAGAAACAACAACGGCUUUGCCGCUGGGGUUAUUAACAAUAUUAUGGGUGCAGUAGUUAACACAGGGUUUCCAGCAAGGCUGGGAAGGAUGAAUCCAACAAAUGCCAAUAAUUGUCAGCCUCAACUGUUCAACAUGUCACCACAGAUUACUAUGCAACCUCCAGCGGUUCAUGGACGAAAACGAGCGGUACUCUGUGGAAUAACCUACCGUGGGCAUUCCAAGAGUCUGAAAGGAAGCAUUAACGACGUUUUAUCCAUGAGAUAUCUUCUGGUUCAGAAGUUGGGUUUCCCCAAUGCAUCUGUACUUGUCCUUACAGGUAUCUCCUACAGUUCAAAAGGGACAACUCGGUGCACAAAGCAUCAUGCAUUCACGCAGGGUCAAGGGAAAGGCCGCACCUCCAAGGGUGUGAUGUAGACAGCCUAACCUAAUGCAAGCAUUAGUGGUUGCUUCCACGGCUCGAACCCGUGACCUAUUAAUCAUACGGAGACAACUUUACCGUUGUUCCAAGGCUCCUCUUCAUCUGCUACAGUUCAUGUCUAGAACAUAAAUGCUUAUGUUACUACUCCCUCCACUCCCAUGAUAUUGUUUCCUAUAUUCUUCAUUCUUUCUUUAUCAGAUAUGAUCAGAUUUCUAACAUAUAAUACAUAAAAUGUUGCAGAGGAUGAGAAAGAUCCAUACAAAAUCCCAACCAAGGGCAAUAUCAGAUCAGCCCUACGUUGGCUUGUUCAUGGUUGUCAGCCAGGAGAUUCACUAGUGUUCCACUACUCUGGCCAUGGCACACGAGUAAGAGACCGUGAUGGCGAUGAGGUUGAUGGGAAUGAUGAAUCACUAUGCCCUGUUGAUUUUGAGACUGAAGGAAGAAUACUAGAUGAUGAGAUUAAUAAUACCAUUGUUAGGCCUUUACCCUGUGGAGCCACACUUCAUGGCAUAAUUGAUACUUGCUUCAGUGGAACUUUCCUGGAUUUGCCGUUCAUGUGCAGAAUAAACAGGUUAUUGAAUUCCCCUUUUAAUGCUUUAUGCAACGAAACUUUAUAUUGAGUUAUCGUAAAAGUACUAUGUCUAAAUGUUUUCAAGCAGGGCGGGACACUUCAUGUGGGAAGACCAUCGUAUCAGCACAUACAAAGGUACUAGAGGAGGAACAGCAAUCUCUAUCAGUGCCUGUGAUGAUCAUCAAAAUUCUGGAGAUACAACAGUUAGUAUUCGUAUAUACAAAUAGCACACUUACCGAACCUAGUAGCUUUUUUCAAACCAUGUAUUUGUCCUAAGAAAUACAUUAAAUAUGUACAAAUUAUUAAUUUAGAACCUAGUAACUUAAAAGGAAUAUAAUCCCCAACGCAUAAGGUUCAAAUCCUGGCUCUGCCUCUGUUAACACUAAAUGCUCUAAGCAAAUUAAAGAGACUCCUGCUAAACAACUAAUGUAAGUAUACUAACACGAUUGAGCCGUUAUCAUAACUAGUUUGAAUUGCCUGUAUAGGUCUUUUAUUUCUAUUGUGUUCUGCUAUAUACUAAAACACAAUUAUUUCGAGAGAUUAUAGAUAUGUUCACCUCUAACACCUUCAAUCAUCAAACUGUCGCACCUUGGAUUUCUGCAGGCUUUCACAGGCUUUCCGACAGGUGCCCUGACAUAUAGUUUCAUCAAAACAUUGGAGCAAGAGACCAAAUUGACUUACGGACGCUUACUUAUGAGUAUGCACAAUAAGAUUCAUGAAGCACAGAAAGGAGUAGGCAUGAAUGGUGCAAAUGAAACUCAGGUACGCUUUUAUGAUAUUGUCAAAAAAAAGUCAGUGCAGCAUUGCAUCACCAUCGUCUAAUGCAUUUUAUUGGUCUUGCCCAGGAGCCUCAAUUAUCCGCGUCUGAGCAGUUUGAUAUUCACUCGAAGAUGGUGGCUUUGUAGGAACUUAAAAUAUCCAACUCCAGCAAGAGUACAACUUCCCUGGCAUAAUCUUGUUAUAAUAAAUCUCAGAACUUCUUUUACCAUAUUUGGUUAAGUACUGUGUGACUAAGGCUUCAGUUGCGUAUAGAUUCACUCUUAUACUAAUGUUUGGAAGUGAAUCAUUGUCAUAUAUUUUCCUAUAAACUUUAAUAAUAUUAAAAUAAAGCCCCUAAGAUGUGUUAUUGUCUUGUUAUUUACUGGCCCCUGUCAAAGUGAGCUUUUGGCAGUAGACCUGUAAGCCAAGUUUGAUCAAGUCUGACUCUCAAGCGUAUUAAAUGGCAGUCAGCACACAAUUUUUUGCAGCCUUUCAGAUAAUAUCAAGAGACAUCUCAAGCACAAGCUUUUAACAGAAAGCAGAUUCUUAGAUAAAUGAGAAUAAGUUUGCGAUAAAAUGAUAAGAGCAGCAAAAGAAUCUACGUACAUCAUAGGUUAUGGAUUAGAAGUCAUUUUGAAUCUUGAAACCAGCUUCUCUCAUGAGGAAGUAAGACUGUCUAUAUUCGCCUUUCCCUGAGCCCGCCUGGCACUGAGGUCCUCCGUUAUUCUUUAUCCCCUCCUCUUUUAAAUGAAACACAAAUUUCUUCCUCUCUUAAAGUCAAUAAAAAUAGAUUCUCCUGCACUCUUCCUAGUUUGGUUAGCUUACGAAUCUUUUAUGCAAUUGGCAUUCCUCUUGCAGAUGAGUCUCAUCUAUAUCAAAAACAUUUUUGGCCUUGGAUGGUGCAAUUAUUAUUUUGAAUUGGUAAAGAUUCUGCAACGAAAACUAGUUAAACUCACAAAAGUGUCCAAAUGUAUUGCGACUCAUUAAAAGUGAAAUGCAGAUUUGCGUCCCUUAAGGCUGCAUUCAAAUUCAUACUGACUAUAUAUCAGAUAGUUGGGAUAGCUCUAGCAGCAUGUAAAGGAGAUCAACUACACAUAGACAAUUAAAAGAACUUCUCAUUCACAAGGUCGAAUUGUGCUUAUUCAUAAGACGAAAACCUAAGUUGAAAUCUCAAAGUUACAUGAUUGAUCAACCAAGCAUACUAUGCAGAAAGAAUUCAUUUGACAAGUUCAUGCAACUAGUAUUCAAAAAUAUGUUUGCCAUCCAUGAGCUCCUCAAUCUCUUAUGCUAGUAAUCCAUAAAUAUUACUCUGUAUAAUCUAGUGGAGGCCAUUGGCCGAGAAGCACUUUGAUAAGAUGAUAAAAUCCAGUUUUAAGUUCCAAUUAAUCCAGCUAACCCCUCCUGCAAGGCCAAAAUAAAGAAACCGGAGCAGACAGGGGAAAAGAAAUCUAUCGACUAUAGCAUUUGGACAUCAAGACAAACUUUUGUUUUGUUAAAUAUCGCAAGAUCACAUGAAGAGAGAACGAUACAUCUAGAAGGACUAGAUGAUGCUCAAACUAGUGCACAUUAAUCAAUCCAGAUUAACGAAGACGUAGACCACAUAUUCAUUUUCUUAGUGGCUGCCAAUAUUAAUUUUCUACAACCAAGGACGAAACAAGAUCAUUAAAGAAGAUUAUUUUCUCUUAAUGUAACAAUUCCUCAGGCAACGUGAUAUACAUAAAUUGUCUAGCGAAAUUCGGAUUCUCGAAAAUAUUAAUUCUUCGUGAUAACACUAAGAUGAUUCUUUGACUACAGAAGUAGUGAAUUAAUGCCCAUCCCACGAAAAAUUAGCAUAUAUUCCAUUCUUUACAUGCAACCAGCAAGCUGGCAUUCUAUGUUGUUCCAAUAUCCUAAAAAGAAAGAUACAACACGGUUGAGGUAUACUCCCUCCAUUUCAAUUUGUUUGAAUCUUUUUGGAGUACAAGGGGCCAAAUUGACUAAUUUUCUAUAUGAAUUGGGCUGUAGAUUCUUUAAGUUUUUGAAAUAAAAUUUACGUAUCUAGAAAUUACAUAAAAGGUACUAAAAGUCAUAGAAACUUUAUUUUGUUCUGAAUUUCUAUUCUAGUAGGACUCUCUUUCUUGAACAAAGGGAAAAAGAGGAUUAAAUAUCCUUCAUAUGCCUUAUCCUUUUUUUGAAAAGAAGUCUUACACUUUUAUAAAUUGAGGAUUUCUGAUUCUCAAAACAAUAACAAUAAUAGCAUCCAAAAUGUAGUUAUAAAGAGUCUUGUUUAGGGUAGAUUUUUUUCUCAAAUCUCAAGGUUCUGAAAGAAUAUAAAACUCAAUCAUGAUAAAGGAUCAUACCUUUCAGAAUAUAAAAGAUAGAAUCUACUAUGCCGAAAGACGCAAAAUAGAUUGAUUCUUGUUUCUCCAUCACCACAUCUGGAAGAGAAUAAAAAGCUU